rnacentral:lncRNA from 1 species
AUGAUUCCUGGGAUGGUGUUUCCUGACAGCCACAUGUAUCAUGUUGCUCGUAUUAACGAGGAGUUAAGGGCACACUACAAUAAUUGUACUCUUCAAAAUUGAGGGAAAAGGAAAGAACACGAAAAUUCAUCGGAGAAAGAUUAUCACAACUGGCCCCUUACCCUUUACCUAGCUUAAUCAAAGUGGAAUUCGAUUUCAAGCUUUACGGAUUCCAACUUCUAAGCGAGAUGUAUAAUCUCCAAGGACCAUGGCUGCCAUUUAUGCCUAGUUCUCAGCUAAAGGUGCAAAGACCCACCUCAGCUCAGUAAAACUCAAAUUCCAUUCAUAAACCAUACUUUUUCAUGCACCUUUGCCAUGAUGGGUUGCAUUUAAGAAUGAGUUUAUGGAAGCAGAGUCAAAACCCACAAAUCAGAUCCCAUCUGCUUAGAUUUUAAAGCCUCCAUGCUUGUUUUAUAUUUUGUUCAAACUCCAGUCUUUGAGUUCCAACUUCCAACUAUAGAAAGAACUGAAAACAGAGUACGAAUCCUUUUUGGGAAGCAGCCAUUCACUUGCUUGCGCUACUAUGCAAUAAUGGAUACUGAUGCAGCAAUAAUGCAGCAGCCAAGUCCCUAGGCCAGCACAUCAAUGUUUUCGACAGGGCUUUGCGAUGUACCACCAUCCUUGGUCCAAAGCUAGCUGUGGGUCAUUCUUCUUUGAACUUAAGCUCCACGGUUGAUUUCUGGCAUGGCAUCCUCUACAUCUAUCCGAUGCUACUGCUCAGAACACCAUGGAGCAAGGAUUUUAACGGCUUUCCAUUUAGGUACACUUCUCAGUUGAAGAAGAAAGCUCCCCUGGCCCAAUCAUUAGGCCCAUUAUUCAUAGCUUAAUUAUUCUCACAACCCCAUGUUCUAGAAGCUAGAAUCUAGAAUGUAGAUUCUUGGGAGGAAGCUGUCUCUUUCUCUCCUGCCGCCCAGCUUGAAUCGGAGUACAAACAAAC